AAGACAUACUCACUUCAACAGUAAAAUUGGAACAAUAUGGAGAAGCUUGGCUUGGUUCAUGCACCAGGACAACACACAAAUUUAUGAAAUGUUCAAUGUUUUA
rnacentral:snRNA from 1 species